GUGAUCUGCCCUGCACUCUAGGAUAAGCCUGGGAAACUGAGUCUAAUACCGUGAUAUGACCUCGGGAUGCAUGUCCUGGGGUGGAAAGUUUUUCGGUGCAGGAUGAGCCCGCGGCCUAUCAGCUUGUUGGUGGGGUAAUGCCCUACCAAGGCGACGACGGGUAGCCGGCCUGAGAGGGCGACCGGCCACACUGGGACUGAGACACGGCCCAGACUCCUACGGGAGGCAGCAGUGGGGAAUAUUGCACAAUGGGCGCAAGCCUGAUGCAGCGACGCCGCGUGAGGGAUGACGGCCUUCGGGUUGUAAACCUCUUUCAGCAGGGACGAAGCGCAAGUGACGGUACCUGCAGAAGAAGCACCGGCCAACUACGUGCCAGCAGCCGCGGUAAUACGUAGGGUGCGAGCGUUGUCCGGAAUUACUGGGCGUAAAGAGCUCGUAGGCGGUUUGUCGCGUCCUCUGUGAAAUCCCGCAGCUCAACUGCGGGCUUGCAGGCGAUACGGGCACACUCGAGUACUGCAGGGGAGACUGGAAUUCCUGGUGUAGCGGUGAAAUGCCCAGAUAUCAGGAGGAACACCGGUGGCGAAGGCGGGUCUCUGGGCAGUAACUGACGCUGAGGAGCGAAAAGCGUGGGUAGCGAACAGGAUUAAAUACCCUGGUAGUCCACGCCGUAAAACGGUGGGGCGCUAGGUGUGGGGUUUCCUUUCCACGGGAUCCCGUGCCGUACCCAACGCAUUAAGCGCCCCGCCCUGGGGAGUACCGCCCGCAAGCCUAAAACUCCAAAGGAAUUUGACGGGGGGCCCGCACAAAGCCGGCGGAACCAUGUGGUAUUUAA
rnacentral:rRNA from 1 species